AUGCAAAUAUGGAUCAGGAAAAAACAACAGCUGUAGAAUUGAUUAUAUAGAAGAAGAAUACAUACUUAUUGUGAGGUUAUCCCAGCUAUCCACUAUGACCCAGUAUAUAUAGCAAGUAAAAACUACAGCAGGAAAGAUCUCAUUCAAUGACAGUUUGUUUCUUAUCCAGAAAAAUAAAAUGAACAGGUUAAUGAUACUCUUAAAGUUGGUUUAUGUUUAAAUU
rnacentral:lncRNA from 1 species